UGAGGAAUAUUGGUCAAUGGACGAGAGUCUGAACCAGCCAAGUCGCGUGAAGGAAGACGGAUCUAUGGUUUGUAAACUUCUUUAGUGCGGGAACAAAGCGGCGUCGUGACGCCGGAUGAGUGUACCGCAAGAAUAAGCAUCGGCUAACUCCGUGCCAGCAGCCGCGGUAAUACGGAGGAUGCGAGCGUUAUCCGGAUUUAUUGGGUUUAAAGGGAGCGCAGGCUGCGAGGCAAGUCAGCGGUCAAAUGUCGGGGCUCAACCCCGGCCUGCCGUUGAAACUGUCUUGCUAGAGUUCGAGUGAGGUAUGCGGAAUGCGUUGUGUAGCGGUGAAAUGCAUAGAUAUGACGCAGAACUCCGAUUGCGAAGGCAGCAUACCAACUCGCGACUGACGCUGAGGCUCGAAAGCGUGGGUAUCGAACA
rnacentral:rRNA from 1 species